UACGUAGGUGGCAAGCGUUGUCCGGAUUUACUGGGCGUAAAGAGCGCGCAGGCGGUCGUUCAAGUCGCGUGUGAAAGCCCCCGGCUCAACUGGGGAGGGUCACGCGAUACUGACCGACUCGAAGGCAGGAGAGGGUAGUGGAAUUCCCGGUGUAGUGGUGAAAUGCGUAGAUAUCGGGAGGAACACCAGUGGCGAAGGCGACUACCUGGCCUGUUCUUGACGCUGAGGCGCGAAAGCUAGGGGAGCAAACGGG
rnacentral:rRNA from 1 species